GAUGAACGCUGGUGGCGUGCCUAAUACAUGCAAGUCGAGCGAAUGGAUUAAGAGCUUGCUCUUAUGAAGUUAGCGGCGGACGGGUGAGUAACACGUGGGUGACCUGCCCAUAAGACUGGGAUAACUCCGGGAAACCGGGGCUAAUACCGGAUAACAUUUUAAACCGCAUGGUUGGAAAUUGAAAGACGGCGACGGCAGUCACUUAUGGAUGUAACUGAGUCGCAUUAGCUAGUUGGUGAGGUAAAGGCUCACCAAGGAAACGAUGCGUAGCCGACCUGAGAGGGUGAGCGGCCACACUGCGACUCAGCAACGGCCCAGACUCCUACGGGAGGCAGCAGUAGGGAAUCUUCCGCAAUGGACGAAAGUCUGAAGGAGAGACGCCGCGUUGGUGAUGAAGGCUUUCGGGUCGUAAAACUCUGUUGUUAAGGAAGAACAAGUGCUAGUUGAAUAAGCUGGCACCUUGACGGUACCUAACCAGAAAGCCACGGCUAACUACGUGCCAGCCGCCGCUGUAA
rnacentral:rRNA from 1 species